rnacentral:lncRNA from 1 species
CAGACAAAACUGUUUGAAACCUAGGGCCUGUGAAAGAGGUCAAAAGUUUGUGGGUUUUUGGGUAGUGUCAGGGUUAUGGCCCCUUGGGGAACCCUAAGUGGCGUUUUGCUUAGCCCUGUGGACCACUUGUUUGCAUCUGUGUGAGCGGGUGAUCAUUCUAUUACCUUUUAUUGGUAGUAAGCUUGGAAAAUAAUUUAAAUACAAAAUGCAGAAAUGUAAAUAAGUUUAUAUAUAAA